GCUGUCCUGUGGCCUCUGCAGCUCAGCAUGGCUAGGGUACUGGGAGCACCCGUUGCACUGGGGUUGUGGAGCCUAUGCUGGUCUCUGGCCAUUGCCAACCCUCUUCCUCCGACUAGUGCCCAUGGGAAUGUUGCUGAAGGCGAGACCAAGCCAGACCCAGACGUGACUGAACGCUGCUCAGAUGGCUGGAGCUUUGAUGCUACCACCCUGGAUGACAAUGGAACCAUGCUGUUUUUUAAAGGGGAGUUUGUGUGGAAGAGUCACAAAUGGGACCGGGAGUUAAUCUCGGAGAGAUGGAAGAAUUUCCCCAGCCCUGUGGAUGCUGCAUUCCGUCAAGGUCACAACAGUGUCUUUCUGAUCAAGGUACUGCUGGGCCAAAAUCAGGGCCAGGCUGGAAAGGGCUGGAAUCGACACUGGGGACCCUUCCCCCAAAUGGCCUUGGCAUGGAGCCCAUAGCAAUAGGUAGCAGAUUUCUUUCCCAUGUGCCCUCCUUUCCUGUAAAAGCUUGGGCUAAGGGAGUGUGCAUGCAUGUGGGCCUGGCAGGUGCACCAUCCAGUGGCUGUUCUUCAGUCCUAGUCUUAGUUCUACACCACUCUUCUGUACCUCACACUGCUGGCCAUGCUUUUUUUCUCUGGCAAUUUCUUCCCUCGCCUUCCAUGACCCUGUAUCAAGUCCUCUUCACAGGGCAAGGCAAGUUGUUCCCAACACAAUGGCACCUGGCUAGAAGAGCAUGUGGAGCAUGAAAUCCAGUCUGCUGUGCUCACCAAGUCCCAUGUGACCCAGGCUGUGUCUGCUCAGAGGAAGGGGUGCCUUUUCCUACCUUGCCAAAGGUGCUGUGUGGUUGGGGAAGUCCUGACUGUCGGCUUUGUUUUCCCUCCUGCCUCUUUUCUCUCUCUUCUCAAAUGUCUCAUUCUAUCUC
rnacentral:sRNA from 1 species